rnacentral:rRNA from 1 species
GGUUGAUCCUGCCAGCAAUCAUAUGCUUGUUUCAAAGAUUAAGCCAUGCAAGUCUAAGUAUAAGUGAUUAUAUAGCGAAACUGCAGAUGGCUCAUUAUAUCAGUAAUAACCUACUUGAUUAAUCUGUUUAUUUGGAUAACUGUAGGAAUUCUAGAGCUAAUACAUGCAAAAAGAUUGGAUUGAGAGGGGGGUAAAACUCCCUUUUGAGAAAAUCGCACUUAUCAGCCAAGAAAUCAUAUUUUAAUAUUCAGGUGAAUCAUGAUAAGAACUUUUUUUGAUUUCGGUCAAAAAA